rnacentral:lncRNA from 1 species
GUUGCAGCCUGAGAUCCGUAAUAUGGCGGGGAGGAGGAGGAGAAGGCGGCGGCGGACCGAGCUGCGCUCUGUCAGUACCAUUUGAGCCAUUCGCUUCCUGACAAGGCCCGUGGCGAGGGGAGAGGAGCUGAAGGGGCCGUGGGGGAUCAGUUUCAUUUGAAACCUACGGGGAACCAAGCACUGUCGCUGCCCUCCAGGAAUUCAUACUCUACUGCUAAAAAUCGUCAUCAUCAUUAUCCUCUUAAUAAGAAAAGCAGUCCCCAUUAUUUGUUGCUUUCUGCGUGUUCUGCACUACGUUAAUUGCCCUACAUGCAUUAGCUCAUUGAAUUCUUACAACAUUCCUUUGAGACGGAUACCGUGAUCAUCCCUCUUUUACAGAGGACGAAACAGUGCCUGCUGUGUGCUGAUACUGUUCUGUGUAAUGGGGAUUCAGUGAACAAGACUGAAAAGGUACCUGUACUUAUGGCGCUUACAUUUUGGUGGAGGAAGACAGACAAAAAUCAAGGAAAUAAACACGAUAAUUUCAGAUAGUGUGUGACUGUGGGAAGAUGGAGGAGUAUGAGAAGUUCUGUGAAAAAAGUCUUGCCAGAAUACAAGAAGCAUCACUAUCCACAGAGAGCUUUCUCCCUGCUCAGUCUGAAAGUAUCUCACUUAUUCGCUUUCAUGGAGUGGCUAUCCUUUCUCCACUGGUAAACUUG